rnacentral:rRNA from 1 species
UACGUAGGGGGCUAGCGUUGUCCGGAUUUAUUGGGCGUAAAGAGCGUGUAGGCGGCCGAGUAAGUCCGGUGUGAAAACUCGAGGCUUAACCUCGAGAUGUCAUCGGAAACUAGUCGGCUAGAGUCCGGAAGAGGAGAGUGGAAUUCCUGGUGUAGCGGUGAAAUGCGCAGAUAUCAGGAAGAACACCUAUGGCGAAAGCAGCUCUCUGGGACGGUACUGACGCUGAGACGCGAAAGCGUGGGGAGCGAACAGG